AUCUUUCUCUCUCUCUUUGAUUUAUUAUUAAUAUUGUUAGUGGAGUAGAGAGUGAUUGAGAACUUGAGUGCCUUGCAGCAGAGUGAGGAGUUCUUGAACCUUGAAAAAGCUAAGAGAAAGAUAGAUACGCACAAACAAGAUGGAGCCAAAGAGAUAGUGAAAAACAGUGUUACUCCUAAUUAAUAAAUAUGACUCCUUAUCAAACCUACCUAUAUAUAACACUACAUGCUUCUAACUUCUAACUAAACUUCUAUAUAUACACCCAUAUAUAUCCCAUCUAUAAUAUCAUAUAUUUCUAACCCUUUCUCUAGUAAAUUAAAUCUUGCUCUUUUUUUUUCUCCUUAAUUAGUGUGGAUCGGAGAUUUAUUAUUAUUAUUAUUGUUCAUGUUGAAGAAGGAAAUUAAAGGAGGGUGUCUGGAAUGAAGUUUGAUCCGAAAUCAUUGUCUCUCUCAUCUGAAUCAUAUUCUUUUUCCUUUUUAUUUUGCUUUUCCCUUACUAGCUUUGCUUGUUGCCAAAGAUAGAUAAUAAAAUUUCACAUUUUUAUAUAUACAUACACAUAUCGAACAAUAAUAGAUGAAAAGGGAUAGUGGAAGGAAGCUAAGGAGAGUGGGUGUUUGGAAUGAGGUUUGAUCCAAGAUAUAUAUCUACAAAUAUAUCAUUUUUUUUUUAAUUUGUAUUAUGAUGAUGAAUAAUUGAUGCAUGAGAUUUAUAUGAAUAUGGAUGGUGGGGGAUUGAUUAUAUUGAUCUCGGACCAGGCUUCAUUCCUCACACCUACCUUUCCUAUAUAUAAUGUUACAACCUACCAAAGAAGCAAUCAACUUUCACCAUCAACAACACAACCCAAUCCAAAGAUAUGCGGAUAUGCGGAUACCUACAUAAAAUUCGCAAUUCCAUCCUAUAAGUAUGCGGAUCGGAUCCAUAUCCGCAAUUUUCGGAUCGGAUUCAGAUAAAUACCGCGGAUAUGCGGAUCGGAUCCGAUCCGAUCUAUGAACACCCUUAACACCAAUUGCCGAUGACGCUGAAAAUGCCACACCAGAAGAGAAGAAAAAGAUUACUCAAUUAACGAAGAAGCAUGAUGAAGAUACUUUUGCAUAUCGAGGUCAUAUUCUCAACACUUUAUCCGACUGACUCUAUGAUAUUUACCUAUCAAUUCAAUCACCAUUGGAGAUUUAGAAGUCUUUAGAAGAAAAGUACAACACUGAACGACAAAGAACAGAUAAGUUUAUUAUGAUGAAAUAUUUUUAUUUUAUUACGAAUGAUACUAUGCCUGUUAUGAAUCAAAUUCAUGAAUUACAAAUCCUUGUAAGUAGACUUAGUGAUCUACAAGUGGUGAUUUCCAAAUGAUUACAAGUUGGAGCAAUUAUUUUAAAA